UGGGCUUGCCCAGUAGAGUUCGCCUUGCAGCCUGAUCCAGCCUCUAAAUUUAAACAGGAGGUUGCUGCUCUCUCUUUCGCAAUGUUAUUUUCCCCUCCUCACCCUGUAGUGAGUGCAUGGAGAGAUAUUUUCACUAUGGAAGAUUGGUGCAAAACAGAACAAGGGGAAAUAAAGAAGAAGAGCGAAAACAAGGGAGACAGACUUCAUCCCGUCAUCUCCUUCUACCUCUUCCUGAUUCCCUCCUCUGCCCAGGACUUUCACCUCAGGAAAAGCGGAGAGACCAACUUCGAAAGGCAGCCAGGAAGGAGCUGGAGUGUGAAAUCUGAGAAGAGGAGCAAGAUGAGAGGCUGACCGGCGCUGUGUUUGCUGUUCUGUCCAGGAGCUGCUGGAAAGCAGACUGGAAACUACUACAGAUGAAACCUGGCAGUGAUUUCAGUUAUCAUGGAAGACCGUGAAGACGAGGGCCGUUGAGGGAAAACAUAAAAGGAAGCGUGAGAGGAGAACAACGGGCAAAGGGGGCAUCCUGGAUCCGAAGGGGAGGCCUUUGACACGAGGUCAGGACAUGUUGCUACAUGAAAACCUGACGGAAGCAAUCUUCAACUGCCCAUACACAUGCAUACUGCGAUACUAAGUUGUACAACGUCUUGUAUUACAAAAUACUGUAUAUUGUAUGCUAAUAAAACAUUUAGUAAAAAUAUC